CUGCUUUUCUCUCUCUUCCUCAAUCACCCCCUCUUCAAACCCCCAUUGCGAACUGUUUCUCUCAUGUUCUCUUUCUUUCUUUCAGUUUUUUUUUUGUUUCUUCUUUUGUUGAUUGCUCGACAUUUUUCCCAUGUUGAACCUUGUUGGGUUUGCUGUAUUAUGCUUACGUUUGUAUGGGGUGGAAUUAUUGUUCGCCGGGAGAAUGGAGGGGAUAUUUUAUUUUAUUUAUUUUUUGUUUGUUGUUGGGGAAGUAGGAAAAUUAUAAAAUGGAAGGAUCGUCGAUGAUGGGAAGUUUAUGAAAAUAAAUUUUGAAGUUUUGAGGAUUGAAAGUGUCGUGUAUUGGCGAUGUUGUGGAAAUUCUUAGCUGCUGGAUGGAAGUGUAUGUGUUUCCCAACUUAGACAAUUCAAGUUCUGCUUCAUCUGAGUGACUUCAACAGCGGGAGGAAUGCUACGAAAUUACUGUGGCGUCAGAUUUAAUUCGAGGGCGACCUAUAUCGGUGUAGUGCCGGUCUCCAUGAAUUCUCCUUCAACUUUCUAAUUCAACAGUUUAAUAUGCGCAAAAUUAUACCGGGUUUGAUCAGUUUGUCGGUAUCAAACAUAAAUUUGACUUGUAUUUGUCCAGUUUUGAUGUAAAUCUUGUAGCUACGUGCCAGACCAAAGCCCAGCUCAACGACCUUUCUUUUAGUUUUUUGUCUUAUAGUUAGGGGGUAUUACGUCCAACUGAGGUACCGACAGUUUGCCAAGUGUUCCGGCAUGAAUGAAGCGGUGAAUACCACUUUAGUGUCUAGUGACCAGUAUGAUGUGAAGUUGAAAAUUGAACUAUUUUAGCAUCGUAUCAUUUUCAUCGUUCAGUAGAAUACUCAAGGGGAAUGCUUUUGCUGACAGGGGAAAGAUUCAAUGGAUCUGAUCCUUAUGAUAUCACUUCAGGAAAUAUGGAUCUAAAGUAGCAGUAGAAAUGGAAUGAAGUUCUGAAGAUACAAUGAUAUAUAGAAAAUUUGCUUCUUUGUGUUUAGUAAUUUCACCAUAGACAAGCAAGCAGCAAUAACCUGCUCCAAUGGUUAUGGGCAUAGUAGGUAUCUCCAAAAUUCAUUAGCAAUUGACUCUUCUCACCAUGGAUAUAGAUCUUAGGCUACCUUCUGGUGAGCAUGACAAAGAUGAAGAACCAAAUGGAAUCAAUAAUAUGUUGGAUGUGGAAGAAAAACUUCAUAAUGGAGUUAUUGAGAGUGGAAAUAUGGUUGAUGCUACAGAUGGGAUGCACGUUGAAGAUGGUGGAGAUUUAAAUUCCCCCAUGUUAGACAUGGUAAUGUUUAAAGAGGACACAAAUUUGGAACCACUUCCUGGCAUGGAAUUUGAAUCACACGGUGAAGCAUAUUCCUUCUAUCAGGAAUAUGCUCGCUCUAUGGGAUUCAACACAGCAAUACAAAAUAGCCGCCGUUCAAAGACAUCAAGAGAAUUUAUUGAUGCAAAAUUUGCUUGUUCCCGUUAUGGCAUGAAGAGAGAGUAUGAUAAAUCCUUCAAUCGUCCACGUGUAAGGCAAACUAAGCAGGAAAGUGAAAAUUCAACUGGUCGAAGAGCAUGUGCAAAGACAGACUGCAAAGCUAGCAUGCACGUGAAGAGGAGGGCAGAUGGUAAAUGGGUUAUACAUAGUUUUGUUAAGGAGCAUAACCAUGAGCUUUUACCAGCUCAAGCUGUCAGUGAACAAACAAGAAAGAUGUAUGCUGCAAUGGCUAGACAAUUUGCAGAAUACAAAAAUGUAGUAGGACUCAAGAGUGACUCCAAGAAUCCAUUUGACAAAGUUCGCAAUUUGGCUUUUGAUGCUGGAGAUGCAAGGAUUUUACUUGACUUUCUCACUCAGAUGCAGAAUUUGAACUCUAACUUCUUUUAUGCUGUAGAUAUUGGUGAAGAUCACCGGUUAAGGAAUUUAUUUUGGAUUGAUGCAAAAAGUAGGCAUGACUAUAUUUAUUUUAAUGAUGUAGUUUCACUUGAUACUACCUACAUCAGAAAUAAAUAUAAGUUGCCCCUUGCUUUCUUUGUUGGAGUGAAUCAACAUUAUCAGUUUAUGUUGCUUGGAUGCGCUUUACUAUCAGAUGAAACUCCAACAACGUAUGCUUGGCUAUUGCACAUAUGGUUGAAAGCAAUUGGUGGACAAGCUCCAAAAGUUAUUAUCACCGACCAUGAUAAAGUACUGAAAUCAGCAGUUCAAGAGGUGCUUCCAAAUGUGUAUCAUCACUUCACUUUGUGGCACAUAUUAGGAAAAAUUUCUGAAAACCUUGGUAAUGUAAUUAAACGACAUGAGAAUUUUAUGGCAAAAUUUGAAAAAUGCAUCUACAAGUCAUGGACAAAUGAAGAGUUUGAGAAAAGGUGGUGGAAACUGGUUGAUAGAUUUGAACUCAAAGAAGAUGAAUUGGUUCAGUCCUUAUGUGAAGAUCAAAGACACUGGGCACCAACAUAUAUGAAAGAUGUCUUUUUGGCUGGAAUGGCCAUGCCACAGCGAUCUGAAAGUGUAAACUCCUUCCUUGAUAAGUAUUUGCACAAGAAGACCACUGUGCAAGAAUUUGUGAAACAGUAUGAAACAAUUUUACAGGAUAGGUAUGAAGAGGAAGCAAAAGCUGAUUCUGAUACAUGGAACAAACAACCCACUUUAAGAUCUCCUUCGCCAUUUGAGAAGAGCGUUUCGGGAAUGUACACACAUGCGGUAUUUAAAAAGUUUCAAGUUGAGGUCUUAGGUGCCGUUGCUUGCUUUCCUAGGAAGGUAAGGGAAGAUGAUAAAAGCAUUACCUAUCAAGUCCAAGAUUUGGAAAAAAAUCUAGACUUCAUUGUUGUAUGGAAUGGAUUGAAGUCGGAAGUUUCUUGUCUUUGCCGGUUGUAUGAAUAUAAAGGUUACCUUUGUAGACAUGCUAUGGUUGUUCUUCAAAAGUGUGAACUUUCUACUAUUCCAGCUCAGUAUAUUUUAAAGCGGUGGACAAAAGAUGCUAAGAGCCGACAAUUAAUGGGAGAAGAACCUGAGCCAGUACAAUCUCGGGUGCAACGGUACAACGAUUUAUGCCAGCGAGCAUUGAGAUUGAUUGAAGAGGGAUCUUUGUCCCAAGAGAGUUACAGUAUUGCAUUACAUGCACUCGAUGAAACUCUUGGAAAUUGUACUAGUGUUAAUAAUUCUAAUAGAACUUUUUUAGAAGCUGGUACAUCAGCAGCUCAUGGUCUACUCUGCAUUGAAGAAGAUAGUCAGAUUAGAAACAUAGGCAAGACAAACAAGAAAAAAAAUCCAACUAAGAAAAGGAAGGUGAAUUGCGAGCCAGAUGUCAUGACUGUUGGAGCUCAAGAUAGCUUGCAGCAGAUGGACAAAUUAAGCUCAAGAGCAGUAACCCUUGAUGGCUAUUUUGGCACACAACCAAGUGUGCAAGGAAUGGUACAACUUAACUUAAUGGCACCUACCCGUGAUAAUUAUUAUGGAAAUCAACAGGCCAUCCAGGGGCUGGGUCAAUUAAACUCAAUAGCACCUAGCCAUGAUGGUUAUUACGCUGCUCAACCGAGUAUUCAUGGACUGGGACAAAUGGAUUUUUUCCGAACACCAGCUGGUUUCACCUAUGGCAUUCGGGACGACCCCAAUGUAAGAACAACUCAGUUGCAUGAUGAUGCAUCAAGACAUGCAUGAUUAACCCCUAAUCAUAGCGAAGGUGCUUCACAAGUGGAAAUAAAUGUAUCUAUUUGUAUUUAGCCAUAAAAUGAACUUUGCACAUGAGGAGUCCGUUAUAACGAUCAUUUUGCAGGUGCAGGAAACAACACAUUCUUCUAGUCUGUAAAAAUAGAAUGUACUUUCCAAGUUAGUGGCUGGAGAUAUACUAAAUGUUGGCCUCGUGUAACUAGAGUAUGCAGAGCUGGACUAAAAGAUUUCUGGUUCAAUAAUUUCGUCUGAGUAAGAUGGAAGAGAAUUUAGAGCCACUUGCUCGGUACACAGUUCCAAGAAGCCAAAGUUCUUUUUUUUUGGUUCACUGCUAUCAAAGCCUUGUUAUGGAGAUGGUGGGCAGAGCAGACUAACAGAGGUUUUUUUUUCAGGAAGAAAUAGGAAGUGGGAGGAAAUUUGGGUGAUGUCUUAAAUUUGGGUGCAACCCCUUUCCCUUCACUCUCUGUAAUUUUUUACUUGUCAUUAAUACUUGAGCAGUGUUUGAGUUUUGUUCUGUUUUUUCCUGUAUUUUUCACAUGGGAAAUGAAAAGUUUUGUCUCUUAUUAGAAAAAAAAAGGAACAAUUUUGUUUAACAGGGUAUGCGUUAUCGUACAUGGUCGGGAUGUCCCGUCGCUUGUCCCUACGAAGCAACUCAGCAUCACUUUGGAUAUGAGCAGGUCCGACUUAAAUUUGAGUUUUUGUUUGGAGUGAUGCUUAUGCUGAUAUCCAGGAAAUAUCCUGAAGCUCAUGCCAAACUUUUAACAGUCACAUGAGUAAUGUGCUUGCAGAAGGGAGCAAAAUAGGUUCGUUGCUUGUGUAGAGUUCUACUUCGAAUUUAUCGGUUUUCUUUUUCCCCAACUAUAAUUCAUUAUAACUAUGGUUUAAAAUUUCCAUCAAAAUCUUGAAAUUUCGAAAUUUGGAAGGGUUCGAAAUUUUAAUUGGAAAAAAAUUCUUCCCUCCCUAA